rnacentral:rRNA from 1 species
ACGUAGGUGGCGAGCGUUGUCCGGAAUUAUUGGGCGUAAAGCGCGCGCAGGUGGGAUCUUAAGUCUGUUCUGAAAGUGCGGAGCUUAACUCCGUGAUGGGAUGGAAACUGGGAUUCUUGAGUAUCGGAGAGGAAAGCGGAAUUCCCCGUGGAGGUUUUAAUUGCGGAGGUAUGGGGAGGAGCACCAGUGGCGAAGGCGGCUUUCUGGACGAUAUCUCACUCUGAGGCGCCUAAGCCACUACCGCGUACGG